rnacentral:rRNA from 1 species
GAUGAACGCUAGCGGGAGGCUUAACACAUGCAAGUCGAGGGGCAGCACGAGGUAGCAAUACUUUGGUGGCGACCGGCGCACGGGUGAGUAACGCGUACGCAACCUACCCUGUACAGGGGGAUCACUCGGAGAAACUCGGACUAAUACCCCAUAAAGAUAUUUAGAGGCAUCUCUGAAUAUUUAACGUUCCGGCGGUACGGGAUGGGCAUGCGUAACAUUAGCUAGUUGGUAAGGUAACGGCUUACCAAGGCAACGAUGUUUAGGGGUCCUGAGAGAGUGAUCCCCCACACUGGUACUGAGACACGGACCAGACUCCUACGGGAGGCAGCAGUGAGGAAUAUUGGUCAAUGGGCGCAAGCCUGAACCAGCCAUCCCGCGUGAAGGAAGAAUGCGCUAUGCGUUGUAAACUUCUUUUCCAGGGGAAUAAAAUUUUGUACGUGUACGGAAUUGAAGGUACCCUGGGAAUAAGCAUCGGCUAACUCCGUGCCAGCAGCCGCAGUAAGAC